ensembl:lncRNA
CCAACAUCCACCUCUGGUGUCGUGGGCCAACAUCACAAAAGAGGAGGCAUUACUUUCAGAGUAGCUCUCGCACAUUAUCAACUUAAGAAAAAUGAAAUCAAUUUGAGAAGUAAAAAUGCAGGUCACAGGAGGAAUGUGUAAGGACCAAAGAGACAGAAGGAGCAGCUGCAUAGAGCAAUGUAAGGAGUCAAGUUGAUGGCAGUGGACUCUUCAGCGGUGAGUGACAGCAGAACAAGGUUCAACAGACAGAAACUAGAACGCAGGAUGUUCUGUACUAACACAGGGAAGAACUUUACUGUGAAGGUGAUAGAGCUCUGAAACAGGCUGCCCAGAGAAGUUAUGGAGACUCCUUCUCCGGAGAUUUUCAAUACCUUCCUGGACACCUACCAGUACAACUCUCUGCAGGGACCCUGCUUUAGCAGAGGGUUGAACUUAAUAAUCUCCAGAGAUCCCUUCCAAUUCCUACAGUUCUGUCAUUCUGUGUGAUUCACUUCUAAUGCUGUACCCUUAGGUCAGCAGCCUGAUUUAAAUGUUUCUGCUUCUUCAUCUCUAAUUAUGAAAUCAAUUUACUUUAUUAUGAGGAUAUCACUGCUUUACAGCUACUAAUUUUGAUAUUUUUAUAUUCCAAAGUUCAAGUUUGUUUUUGCCUGUGGUACAUGCAGAUGGCUGUUUUGUGGAUGUGAAAUACUGAAAAGCUCAUAGAGCCAAAACACAGCAGGAGUCUUUAGGAAAUAGGCCAACAGACAGGGCAAUAAGGAAAAGUCAUGACAAUCGUAUGUGGAAGAGACAGGUGACAAAUGAUUGAUUAUUCAUUACAACUCCUAAAGCUACUUGAGAGACAUCUCUCUGGCCACUCUUGCCCCAAGGAUUCUUUCAUCCAGAAGUUAAGUUAGAAAGAACUAAGAAGAUACUUCUCCACAUAUCAGCCCUUUAAAUGGCAGGAUGAAAUCAUUUACUGUAACGUGCUGUUAAAGUCAAAAGGAGAAAGGGAUUCAAAAAGGAAAGAUGCUCUAGAGGCAGGAAAUAUGAAGUAGGUGGUGAUAAUUUGCUUAGGCAAAACCUAACGUGCUGAUUGCUUUGGAUUUCAUUGUCAGGAGAAGGCUUGUCUAACACGUAUGUUCUCCCUUAUGCUGCU